UAAUACGGAGGGUCCAAGCGUUAUCCGGAAUCAUUGGGUUUAAAGGGUUCGCAGGCGGUUUAAUAAGUCAGUGGUGAAAUCUCGAGGCUCAACCUCGAAACUGCCAUUGAUACUGUUAGACUUGAAUACAGUUGGAGUAGGCGGAAUGUGUAGUGUAGCGGUGAAAUGCGUAGAUAUCAGGAGGAACACCGAAGGCGAAGGCAGCUUACUGGGCCUAUACUGACGCUGAGGAACGAAAGCGUGGGGAGCAAACAGGAUUAGAGACCCUGGUAGUCCACGCCGUAAACGAUGAGUACUUGGUGGUGGGGGAUUCGACCCCUUCACUGUCGGAGCUAACGCGUUAAGUACUCCGCCUGGGGACUACGACCGCAAGGUUG
rnacentral:rRNA from 1 species